rnacentral:rRNA from 1 species
AUUGAACGCUGGCGGCAGGCCUAACACAUGCAAGUCGAGCGAGCAGCGGACGGGUGAGUAAUGUCUGGGAAACUGCCUGAUGGCGGGGGAUAACUACUGGAAACGGUAGCUAAUACCGCAUACCAUCAGAUGUGCCCAGAUGGGGUUAGCUAGUAGGUGGGGUAACGGCUCACCUAGGCGACGAUCCCUAGCUGGUCUGAGAGUAUGACCAGCCACACGGGAACGGAGACACGGUCCAGACUCCUACGGGAGGCAGCAGUGGGGAAUAUUGCACAAUGGGCGAAAGCCUGAUGCAGCAAUGCCGCGUGUGUGAAGAAGGCCUUCGGGUUGUAAAGCACUGUCAGCGGGGAGGCGUUACCCGCAGAAGAAGCACCGGCUAACUCCGUGCCAGCAGACGCGGUAAUUC